UACAGAGGGUGCAAGCGUUGUUCGGAAUCAUUGGGCGUAAAGAGCGUGUAGGCGGCCCGGUAAGUCCGCUGUGAAAGUCGGGGGCUCAACCCUCGAAUGCCGGUGGAUACUGUCGGGCUAGAGUGCGGAAGAGGCGAGUGGAAUUCCUGGUGUAGCGGUGAAAUGCGCAGAUAUCAGGAGGAACACCGGUGGCGAAGGCGGUUCUCUGGGCAUGAUCUGACGCUGAGGAGCGAAAGUGUGGGGAGCGAACAGG
rnacentral:rRNA from 1 species